rnacentral:rRNA from 1 species
UACCAGCACCCCGAGUGGUCGGGCCGAUUAUUGGGCCUAAAGCAUCCGUAGCCGGUUCUACAAGUCUUCCGUUAAAUCCACCUGCUUAACAGAUGGGCUGCGGAGGAUACUAUGGAGCUAGGAGGCGGGAGAGGCAAGCGGUACUUAGUGGGUAGGGGUAAAAUCCGUUGAUCCAUUGAAGACCACCAGUGGCGAAGGCGGCUUGCCAGAACGCACUCGACGGUGAGGGAUGAAAGCUGGGGGAGCAAACCGG